UUUACUGCUGGCUUAGAGUUUACUGCCUUUAACUCCCUCUACAACGCCCGGAGGUUGUCACUUCGUGUUGAAGCUUGUGCUGAUUGACGCUGAGGGCUUCUGGAGCUAACUUCAGCCAUCACCAGGAGGUCCAGGUGACCAAGGCAGCUACUGCUCCAUGACAAGUUUGGGGAUUCCUCCAUUCGCAUCCUCUGCAUUCCUUGAUGCCAGGUCUGAUCUUGGAGGGUGUUGGCCUUGGCCAUGUCAAUGUCAUGUAGCUUCUUCACAGCAUGUUUGAUCGGGUGCUUGUUGAUGUUGACAUCCACAAUGAAGAAAUUCAAGAAGAGUGAGAUGUUGAAUCUCUCCUCCUCUCUAACCAUCCCGCAAUUAUUUUAAGCAUCCUCAGAGGUACAGCCACAGAUGCAAAAAUAAGUGUCUUCAGUCUUGGUUGCCAACGUGCCCAUUUCCCUGGCAGUUUUA
rnacentral:lncRNA from 1 species